rnacentral:tRNA from 1 species
AAUCUUAUAGUUUAGAUAAAACUUUAAAUUGCAAAUUUAAUAAAGUGUAUAAUGUUUAUUCACUAAGAUUU